rnacentral:rRNA from 1 species
UGGGGAAUAUUGGACAAUGGGCGCAAGCCUGAUCCAGCCAUGCCGCGUGAGUGAUGAAGGCCCUAGGGUUGUAAAGCUCUUUCACCGGUGAAGAUAAUGACGGUAACCGGAGAAGAAGCCCCGGCUAACUUCGUGCCAGCAGCCGCGGUAAUACGAAGUGGGCUAGCGUUGUUCGGAUUUACUGGGCGUAAAGCGCACGUAGGCGGACUAUUAAGUCAGGGGUGAAAUCCCGGGGCUCAACCCCGGAACUGCCUUUGAUACUGGUAGUCUUGAGUUCGAGAGAGGUGAGUGGAAUUCCGAGUGUAGAGGUGAAAUUCGUAGAUAUUCGGAGGAACACCAGUGGCGAAGGCGGCUCACUGGCUCGAUACUGACGCUGAGGUGCGAAAGCGUGGGGAGCAAACAGG